ACCAGAAUAAGUGCAAGUGCACUGUUUUCAUCUUGUGAUCGUUUCUUCUCUUACAUUUGUCCUUUUAUAAGUGUUAUCAAAUACAUACAUUAACUUACCUCAGCUGUUAGAUUCAACACCUGUAACCAGGGGAAGACAAGGAAGUGGAAGAGGCACACAUUCCUGUUCGACGGCAAACGGAAGUCAAAAUGGCUGUUGGAGUUGUUGUUGUCAGUUCUAAUAAAAAUGACAGACUUGAUAAAGGAGAGAAGUUGUUAGUUGAUCUGUGCGACACCGAGGAGCAGCUGGGGAACAUGACUGUGAAGGAACUGAAGGAGAAGAUUAACAACAAGCUGUUACAGGAGUUUCCACCUGAACCAGGUUAUUGUGCUGGAUCGGUCGAUGAAGUGCACUUUAAAGAACAAAAGCUGGAGGAAGACUCCUUUCUGUCCAACCAUGGAAUACAACACAUGUCGACGGUUGAAGUAAAAAUUUCUAGUAAUUUUUCUGAAGUUAUGGUUGGUCACGGAGGUGCUAUAGAAGAUUUGAAUGAGGACAAAAAAGCUAAAAGACGCAGAAGCAAAGAUAUUUUUUUCGAUAUGGAACAGCCAUUAAAUUUUUCUGGGGAACAAGGAAGGAGCGGCUCUUCUAAAGGCUGCUGUUUAUCUUAAACCUGCUUUUGUGCUACAACACUAACAUGAAUCCAGAUCAGUUGAUGCUUCAAUGAUUUCUAAAGGGAAGCAGCAGAAUACUUAAAAUAAUGCAAAGGUAGAUCAUGAUUUGCUUCCCAGAGAACCACAAUCACAUAAUAUAGUACAAAAUAACUUAAUAUCAUUGCAUGUUAGCAUAGAAGCGGUAGUACUCAACACUCCAGAAUACCACGGCCUGUUCAGCCACCAAAUGAUUAUCCCCCAAGCACUAGAAAUAAAUAGUCUAAGGAAUACAGAGCCACCGUCUCAUAGGUAUGUCUUAGAGGAAUAUGGGAAAAUAUUUCAUUCUAUGAAAAAGUUCAAGUAGGACAGAUGGUGAACACCAGAGACGCAUCUAAAAGUUACUUGAGCCCAGGAAUUGAGGAGUCCUAAUAUAGAACAAGGUUAUAAUGUUAUUUUUGUAACAGUUUAAUUUAAUUUAAUUUUUUUUGUUUGUCUAAUUCAGUUGGUUUUAGUUAUGUGUUUUCUGGUUUUUAUUAGUAAAAUAUUGUUAAAUAUGUAUUCAAUUGUUUUUGAACAAGUGACUCUGGUGUUUUCUCCCAACUCUUGCUGUCAUCAUUUUGUGGACAAGCGUAAGUGUCACCAGGAGGAAAAUAAAGCGCAGUAAUUUCGGGGAAGCUGGCGUAAACUCCUUGUUUGUGUGUGUAGGGAAUCAAUUUCACAUCAGUUAGAAUGACUAAUAAAUGGAUUCACAAACAUUAAAAUGAAGGAUAUGUAUGUACUGUUUCCUUAAUCUCAAUUUUUGUUAUUUUGAAAGUUUUAGUUGACUAUAAUAACCUUAAUGUAGGUCAAACCUUGACAACUUUUAACAAUAUGAAAUGAUGCACAAGGUCCUAUGAACAUGUUUGUUUCACACAUUUCUGACAAUUAUGACACUGUUUUGUCUGCAUGUAGAUUUUUCUUGAUUACUGAAAACUGUUUUCACAAGUGAAACCUUUUAAUCUGUUUAUGCUGAAUGUAAAUCAGUUUACUUAAUGAAAUCCAAUAGAAAGAUUUGGAUCUUUUAUAAGGUGUAAGUUUAGUGGAGGGAUGUUCAUGCUGUGUUGCUCUUCUUCAUGAGCUGGGAUAAAAUUUUAAGGCUUUAUUAUAAUAGGAACGUUUGGGUAAUUUCUUGUUUCCAAGUUAGUAGGAACAGGUUAGAGACGUUUCCAAUCUUGUUCAACAUGACUCUUUAACAGAUAAAAAGAAUCAAAAUGGUUGAGCAGGUUUGGUCUGAAACAACUUGACUCACCUGCACAGAGUCCUGGCUUCAACCUGAUAGAGCACUGUGGUCGAUUUAAUAGAGCUGAGGCUGUGAGCAAGACAUUCACGUCCAACAUCAGAGUCUGAUCUCAUAAAUGUUCUUCUGCAAGACGGGAAAAAUAAAUGAUAGAAAGCUUUUCCAGUAGAGAUAAAAUGGUGAUGGAUGAAAUGAAUGGACUGACAUCAUAUUAAUAUCUAUAGAUUAACAAUUAGAUCCCACUCAAGUUUAUAUGUGUGUGGAAACAACAAGCACACACUUUUGGCAAUGUAGUGUUGUUUCAUGUAAAUAUUGAAAUCAAAGAACAACUGUGAAAAAUAUGCAUGUUUAAAUAAAAGGCUUUGCUUCUUACUGAUUUAUUUACCGUCUCCUUUCAGGUCAAGGUUUAAUAUUUCUCUGAGUUUAGUCUGAUGAUGAUUCUGAAGCUGUAAUGCUUAGAAAUAGUAA